rnacentral:lncRNA from 1 species
CACUCAGCCUGCGUGACCCUGAGCACACCUUGAUACAGAGCAGGAGAACACCCGGUGAUUAAGGUCAGCACUGGACACACUCUGUGAGCCAUCCCAUCAGCACCCCGCGACAUCCCGGUACCGACCCCUGAUUUGGAGCAGGACAGGUUGUGACCAAGCUGACUAAGCAGAGGAAGCUCUCGCUGUCCUACCACCACCACCAGGCCAGACAAUCCUUCCCUUGGCUGAAGAUCCCGUUGAACCUCUUCCCAUAAUGGAAG